rnacentral:rRNA from 1 species
AGGACGAACGCUGGCGGCGUGCUUAACACAUGCAAGUCGAGCGGUAAGGCCUUUCGGGGUACACGAGCGGCGAACGGGUGAGUAACACGUGGGUGAUCUGCCCUGCACUCUGGGAUAAGCCUGGGGAACUGGGUCUAAUACCGGAUAUGACCUGCUCUCGCAUGGGGGUGGGUGGAAAGAUUUAUCGGUGCAGGAUGGGCCCGCGGCCUAUCAGCUUGUUGGUGGGGUAAUGGCCUACCAAGGCGACGACGGGUAGCCGACCUGAGAGGGUGACCGGCCACACUGGGACUGAGACACGGCCCAGACUCCUACGGGAGGCAGCAGUGGGGAAUAUUGCACAGUGGGCGAAAGCCUGAUGCAGCGACGCCGCGUGAGGAUGAAGGCCUUCGGGUUGUAAACCUCUUUCAGCAGGACGAAGCGCAAGUGACGGUACCUGCAGAGGAAGCACCGGCUAACUACGUGCCAGCAGCCGC